CGGGGGAGCAAGCGUUGUUCGGAUUUACUGGGCGUAAAGGGCGCGUAGGCGGUCAGCACAAGUCAGUUGUGAAAUCUCCGGGCUUAACUCGGAAAGGUCAACUGAUACUGUGCGACUAGAGUGCGGAAGGGGCAACUGGAAUUCUCGGUGUAGCGGUGAAAUGCGUAGAUAUCGAGAGGAACACCUGCGGCGAAGGCGGGUUGCUGGGCCGACACUGACGCUGAUGCGCGAAAGCCAGGGGAGCGAACGGGAUUAGAUACCCCGGUAGUCCUGGCCUUAAACGAUGGAUGCUUGGUGUCUGGAGUUUUAUAGUCUCCGGGUGCCGUAGCUAACGCGUUAAGCAUCCCGCCUGGGGACUACGGUCGCAAGACUG
rnacentral:rRNA from 1 species